AUUUACUGGGUUCAUUCAGCCUAGCACACUCUGCUGCUUAGGCAGGCAGGAAGCAGAGGAGGGAAAGAGUGGUCAUUAGGCUGCUUGCUGUAACAGACUUCUUAAAACUGAAGCAACCCUCAGGGCAUGUGGAAGGCAUGGUGAUAUUCUUCUACAAUAGCAACUGGCAGCAACAGGUUGACCAGGGAGCCACAGUCAAGGAGACUAACUUGAAAUGGGCCAGUUUUAACUGGGCGAAGGUGGAUGUGCAGUGACAGGAGAAUGAAGGGAUCGUCAGCACAAGGUACAGGCCAGCCUGAUGACAAGUGAGACAGCAGUGUGUUAACGUUCGCGUGCAUGGCCCCAUAUACAAACAAGGAGCAUAAUGGAGAGGAAAUCUCUGAACAUCUGCUUAUGCUGGUUCACUCUGAAGAAGGGCAACUUUGCCUCUCCAAAGACUUUCAGUUGAACUGUAAUGACCUGGUGUAUGGGCCCUGAAACAUAUGCUUGGAAAGGAUAGACAAAUCGGGAGCAAAGGAGCCAAAGGCAGCUAUCAGAGUUGGAAGGUUUUAGAGCCUUGGAACCAUGGACACAGUCACGGAUAAUAGCAUGGAGCCCAGGUGGCCCAAAAGGUUCACUCCAGUCUGAAACCCACCAGAUGUGGUCUUGGAACAAUUUCAUGCCGGAUUACUGCCUAUGUGAGACACCAAUGUAGGCAAAAAAAAAGACCUUGAAGUUAUCAGGAAAGGUAGGGCUCAACUUGUGCCUGAAGUGAGAGUUGGAUUUAAAGAUAGGUGAAAAACAGGAAGGAAUCACUGGAAGCAAGAAUGGAGAUCUCACAGUGAGUUUUGGAGGCCAGGGGAGAGCCUGCAACCUGUGGGUAUUUUUUCUUGCCUAAAGGCUUUCCCAUUUCACCACAGAAAUUGCAUAUGGUAGUGUUGUUGGGGAGCCCAUUCAACAGACUUAUGGAAAAAUCUAUAGAAUCAUUCUAUUGCAAAUUACUCAGUUGCCAGAACUCCUUUCUAGAACAAAGUGGAAUAGAAAUGCAUAAACAGGCCUCUGGGUCACCCCGCAGAAAGACUGGCGUUCAGGGCAGCAUCAAGUCACUGACUUCCCUCAAAGGAGAAGCAGCAAGCUGGCGUGGGACUACGGACCCUGGGGGAGAGCUGGAGGAGAGGUCCUCAAGAUGUCAUCGCUAGGCUACCCAGUGCCUACCCCACAUCAGAAUUCCCCGGAAUGUCAGAUGAAAGGAAAACUUCAGUGCCCAUCAGAUAAGUUUCUCAAAGGAGAAGUCAAUGAAGAGCUAUAAGAUGAAUGCUCUGGACUAAUUGGAUGAAAUAAAAUAUGUGCAGCAGCAUGCUUCUCCAGAGUCUGCAAAGGUAUUCUGCACUUAAAAGCAAAUAUUCAGUGCUCCGCAUGCAUUUAAAAUAUGAACAAUUACUAUAGAAGAAUGUUUAAUUUUUAUGUCAUGAGAUUUUGUAAUAUUUUAUACUUUAAAAAUGUUUACAGGAUUUUUAAAAUAAUUUGAUUGUUUGAAUCACUAAAAAAUGAACUGAAACACAAAAAUUGUAUCUAUGAUUUGUAAAUAAUAGUGGAAAAUAUUUUUUCCUAAAUGUUGAUGUUAACUACUUCAUUCUUGUAAUUUGUGAAUGUCCUUGUUUGUCCUCUAAUUUGUCAUUAAAUAUUGGAAUUCCUCUUUAAGCUAUAUAAUUGUAAAUAAGAGAAUUCUCCCUAAAAUCAAAAGGAUGCCCUUGACUAUUUUAUUGCUGGUUCUGAUAUGUUCACAACUGUAGACUGUAUCAGUUUAGUUCAGUUGCUCAGUCGUGUCCGACCCUUUGCAACGCCAUGGACUGCAGCACGCCAGGCCUCCCAGUCCAUCACCAAUUCCCGGAGCUUGAGUAAACUCAUGUCCAUUGAGUUGGUGAUGCCAUCCAACCAUCUCAGCCUCUGUUGUCCCCUUCUCCUCCCGCCUUCGAUCUUUCCCAGCAUCAGGGGAGACUGUAUAGCACAGUCUUAACAUUGUAAAUCUUACUGACAUUUCAGCAUUUUCAUGUUAAUUGGUCUGGUAAGCGCUUUUGAUACAACAGAUUCUACUUAUAAACUGAUCAAAAUAUGCUUUAAUAAAAGCCUUCUGGGGUUUCCCUGGUGGCCUGGCAGGUAAGAAUCCGCCUGCCAAUGCAGGAGACAUGGGUUCCAUCCCUGAUCCAGGAAGAUCCCACAAGCGGAGGAGCAGCUAAGUGUGUGCGCGCCACGACUACUGAGCCUGUGUUCCACAACAAGAGAAGCCACCGCAAUGAGAAGCUCACGCACGGCAACUAGAGUAGCCCCUGCUUUUCCCAACUAGGGAAAAGCCCGAGCAGUAACAAAGACCCAGAACUGCCAAUAAAAAAUAAGAUUAAAAAAAACUUUCUGGCAUAUUUUUUCCUUAUUCAUUUUCUUCUCAUGAUGAUUGACAGAUAUUCUAAGAAGUAAAGAAGUGUAGGUAUUGCUUUACCAUCUAUACGCUAUCACAUAUAUAUUUUUUAAAAGCAUAGUCACUUAGUCGUGUCCGACUCUUUGCGACCCCAUGGACUGCAGUCCGCCAGGCUCCUCUGCUCAUGGGAUUCUCCAGGCAAGAAUACUGGAGUGGGGUGCCAGUCCCUUCUCCAGGGGAUCUUCCCAACCCAGGGAUCAAACCUGGGUCUCUCCCAUUACAGGCCGAUUCUUUACCAUCUGAGCCACAGGGAAUAUUUUUAAGUCACUCUUUAUUGUCAGGUCCUUAAUACCUUAAGGGUACUACAUAGAAUAUUCAAUUAAUUCCUACCAGAACCAAGUAUGUUAGGCAUUAACGGGCCCUUUGUGUAGAAACAGAGACACAGGCUCAGAAAGGCAUUUUAAUUGCCUGCAUCUCAACAAAGCCAGAAGUGACGGUAGAACCAGAAUUUAAACCUACGUUGGCCUGACUUCAAAAAGUGUAUUCCUUCAAAUAAAGCAGUUAAUAAUAAAAUGAUACCAAAAACUGGCAAAUACAAAAAGUACUUAAAUAUUUUUAUUUAAAUAAGAAAAUUUAUAUAACAUGCAGAGGAUAGUACAGGCAGGCAUACCUCAGAGAUAUUGUGGGUUAAGUUCCAGAUCACCAAACUAACGUGAAUAUCAAAAUAGAGUGAGUCACACACAUGUCCUGGUUUCCCAGUGCAUAUAAAAGUUAUGUUUACACUAUACUGUAGUCUAUCAAGUAUACAAUAGCAUUAUGUCUUAAAAAGAACAAGUACAAGCUUAAUUUAAAUAUACUCACUUUGCUCAAGUCAGAGGAGAAAUAUCCUAUGACAUCCUUAUCUGCAGACAAUAAAAAAAAAGAGAUACAAAUGAACUUGUUUGCAAAAGGGAAACAGACCCCCCAGACUUUAGAGAAUGAACACAUGGUUGCUAGUAGGGGGAAAGAUGAGGGGAAGGGAUAGGUAGGGAGUUUGGGAUGGAAUUGUACACACUGCUACAUUUAAAAUGGAUAACUAAUAAGCAUCUACUAUAGAGCACCGGGAACUCUAUGUUAUGUGGCAGGCUGGAUGGGCGAGUCUGGGGGAGAAUGGAUACAUGUAUAUGUAUGGCUGAGUCCCUUUGCU
rnacentral:lncRNA from 1 species